rnacentral:rRNA from 1 species
AGUGAACGCUGGCGGUAGGCCUAACACAUGCAAGUCGAACGGCAGCACAGUAAGAGCUUGCUCUUACGGGUGGCGAGUGGCGGACGGGUGAGGAAUACAUCGGAAUCUACUUUUUCGUGGGGGAUAACGUAGGGAAACUUACGCUAAUACCGCAUACGACCUACGGGUGAAAGCAGGGGAUCUUCGGACCUUGCGCGAUUGAAUGAGCCGAUGUCGGAUUAGCUAGUUGGCGGGGUAAAGGCCCACCAAGGCGACGAUCCGUAGCUGGUCUGAGAGGAUGAUCGGCGACACUGGAACUGGGACACGGUCCAGACUACUAAGGGAGGCAGCAGUGGGGAAUGUUGGACAAUGGGGGCAAGCCUGAUCCAGCCAUACCGCGUGGGUGAAGAAGGCCUUCGGGUUGUAAAGACCUUUUGUUGGGAAAGAAAAGCAGCAGGUUAAGACCCCGCUGUUCUGACGGUACCCAAAGAAGAAGCACCGGCUAACUUCGUG